rnacentral:rRNA from 1 species
GCGAACGGGUGAGUAACACGUGGGCGACCUGCCUGUAAGAUCGGGAUAACUCCGGGAAACCGGGGCUAAUACCGGAUAACCCGUGCCUCCUCCUGGAGGCGCGUUGAAAGGCGGCUUCGGCUGUCAUUUACACAUGGGCCCGCAGCGUAUUAGCUUGUUGGUGGGGUAACGCCCCACCAAGGCGAUGAUACUUAGCCAACCUGACAGGGUAAUCUGCCACACUGACACUGACACUAGGCCCAGACUCCUACGGGAGGCAGCAUUAGGGAAUCUUCCCCAAUGGACGAAACUCUGACGGAGCAAUGCCGCGUGAGUGAUUAAGGUCUUCGGAUCGUAAAGCUCUGUUGCCGGAGAAUAACAAGGACAGUAUUAACUGGUUGUCCCUUGACGGUAUCCGGCCAGAAAGCCACGGCUAACUACGUGCCAGCAGCCGCGGAAAUACCUAGGUGGCAUCCGUUGUCCGGAUUUAUUGGCCGUAACGCGAGCGCAGGCGGUCCUUAUAUUCUGAUGUGAAACCCCACGGCUCAACGCAUUAAGCACUCCGCCUGGGGAGUACGGCCGCAAGGCUGAAACUCAAAGGAAUUGACGGGGACCCGCACAAGCGGUGGAGCAUGUGGUUUAAUUUGAAGCAACGCGAAGAACCUUACCAGGUCUUGACAUCCUAUGACCACUCAAGAGAAUGGGUAUUCCCUUUGGGGACAGAGAGACAGGUGGUGCAUGGUGGUCGUCAGCUCGUGUCGUGAGAUGUUGGGUUAAGUCCCGCAACGAGCGCAAACCCUAUUCUCAGUUGCCAGC